GGCCUCCUGCCACUGUAGCAUGAUCAUGACAGGCGGGUCCCGGUCCCCGCGCCCACCUCGCGCGAAGCCCAGAGAACUCCAGAGACUCCCCUCCGCGAGCUCCAGGCACCGACGGAAAAAAUACUCACUACCUCCUUCUCCGGUGGCCACGGGCGCCAACGCCUCUCGCCUCUCGCCUUCGCCUCCUCGCGCGACGCCGCCGACCGAAUCCACGCUGCCGCCACCAGGACCGAGCCGCCACCUCCCAGCUCCACCUCCCCAUCGGAGCCGAGCCGCCGCCACCCGGAUCCACCUCCCCGAUGGCGCUGCCUCCUUCUUCGCUCACUCCGUCCGCCUGCUCCUCGCCCCUCCGCCUUACCCAACCGAGGUCAGCGGCUCGCCUCCUGCCGACGCCGGUGCUGGUCCGCCGCCUCCUGGCCUCCUGGGCUGCUCGGUGUGAGGAGCGCACCGAGCGGGGCCGCGGCGAGGCCGGAGCCGAAGCUGAAGCAGCAGGAGAGCUCACGCACCGCGCUCGAUCUCGCCCGGAUCCACCUCCUCCGCCGCCGGCCAAAGCCACCGGAGCCGCGCCCCACCGGAUUCAAGGCGCCGCCAUCCGAGCCCGCGCCACACUGAGCCACCGUCACGAACUGCUGCGGCGAGUGGCAGCUACGGACUCCGCCGGUAGAAGCCAUUGAAGAUAAAUCUUUCAUGAGUUCAGCAAACUGCAUAGAGGCUAGGAAUUGCCCAAACACAUCAACAAUGUCCCUAUCCUGUACAACAUUCACUUGCAACAGCAAUGGAGAAAGUUCAGGAAAGCCAAAGCUCACUUUUGGCAAUGACAUCAAUGAGCUGAGUUUCAGAGUUUAGGGACCAAAUUAAUGGAGACACCGAUUGCUGACUACAUUGUUAGCCAGUUAUAGUGAGACCAAAGGAAGUGACACUAACAGUUUUAAUGGAGAUGGCAGUCUUUAAAAGAUCAGAGACUCAGAGUUGAGACAUUGCCCCUUUGAAUCAUGUUCGCUUUGCUGAAUGAGUUUGAUUUGUUGACAUAUCAUAAGGGUAUAUAGUUCAGCUGUGUAGUUAUAGAAGCAAAUUUUCUUUUCUCAACAAUAAGGAGGCAAUAAAGUUUUGUGGUUAUCAUUAAAGCAGAUUUCCUUUUAAGAAAAUAACAGGAGAGCUACUAUUUUAUGAUUAAAGCAAGAAAGUUCAGUACAGAAAGAAUGUCAAAGUUAUUAUAAUUUAUGGAAACAAAGCUAAGCUGCUAGAGAUAAUAUGAUUUAUCUACACUGAGUUUUCAUCCUCUUGCAUCUUCGAAGUUACAAUUUACAUAAUUAGUAGCUUAGCAAAAUAAAUUUGUUCUAUCAUUUUAGGUGCAAAUUGGUGCCAUGUUUACAAUUUUGUC